rnacentral:rRNA from 1 species
AUUGAACGCUGGCGGCAGGCCUAACACAUGCAAGUCGAGCGAGCGGCGGACGGGUGAGUAAUGUAUGGGGACUGCCCGAUAGAGGGGGAUAACUACUGGAAACGGUGGCUAAUACCGCAUACUAUCGGAUAACCCAGAUGGGAUUAGCUCGUAGGUGGGGUAAAGGCUCACCUAGGCGAUGAUCUCUAGCUGGUCUGAGAGGAUGAUCAGCCACGCUGGGACUGAGACACGGCCCAGACUCCUACGGAGGCAGCAGGGGGGAAUAUUGCAGAAUGUGUGCGAUCCUGAUGCAGCCAUGCCGCGUGUAUGAAGGAGGACUUAGGGUUGGAAAGUACUUUCAGCGGGGAGGCGUUACCUGCAGAAGAAGCACCGGCUAACUCCGUGCCAGCAGCCGCGUAAUAC